rnacentral:misc_RNA from 1 species
GUACCCUCAAGCUUUGCUUGGUGUUGGGCGUUUGUCUUUGGCUUUUGCCCAAAGACUCGCCUUAAAACGAUUGGCAGCCGGCCUACUGGUUUCGGAGCGCAGCACAUUUUUGCGCUUGCAACUAGCUAAAGAGGCCAGCAAUCCAUCAAGACCUUCUUCUCAC